rnacentral:rRNA from 1 species
UACGUAGGUGGCAAGCGUUGUCCGGAAUUAUUGGGCGUAAAGCGCGCGCAGGCGGUUCCUUAAGUCUGAUGUGAAAGCCCACGGCUCAACCGUGGAGGGUCAUUGGAAACUGGGGGACUUGAGUGCAGAAGAGGAGAGCGGAAUUCCACGUGUAGCGGUGAAAUGCGUAGAGAUGUGGAGGAACACCAGUGGCGAAAGCGGCUCUCUGGUCUGUAACUGACGCUGAGGCGCGAAAGCGUGGGGAGCAAACAGGAUUAGAUACCCUGGUAGUCCACGCCGUAAACGAUGAGUGCUAAGUGUUAGAGGGUAUCCACCCUUUAGUGCUGUAGCUAACGCAUUAAGCACUCCGCCUGGGGAGUACGCUCGCAAGAGUGAA